CCAUCCGUUUGCUGAUCGGACAGGAUGUGAACGGUCAAUAUUGUGUGAGACCGCGAGGAGUGGUCGUUCAUGGCAUGAGAGCCAACAGCACGAUUUCUCAUACCUACGAGGAUAGCAAUAUAGAAUGACGGCCAGAAGGUCAUCCAAUUCUUCGCAGUCCACCGUGAAUAGGUUCUCCACAAAGAACCCCCCCGAUUUCUUGGACCAGCGCACCGCCAACGGUUUUCGUGCACUUCCCGGGUUGAGCAAAUCGAUUACCUAGGGGAUUGAUAAAAAAUGCAAUUCAAUUUGCGAAACCAAUAUGGAAAUGGCAGGUAGGCUAAGAAAACAAAUCAAUGAAAUGCCACGCAAAAUGCAGCAACAUUUCACGCAUAGUGACAAUCGACGAAAGGUGGGUGGACUACCCGUCCACUACCCGUCUGUUUUCGGUGGGUGGAGUGUACUGACAGCCAUUAAUGGAGGUCAGUGGUAUGCAUGUUUGCGGUCAAGCAAUCGGUAUUAUGGCAAAUGCAAUUAGGAUUUAAAUUGAUAUUGCAGAGGUCAAGCCAUGUCCAUUGAAGUGGAUUAGAGGUCCCUCGUUGGGCGCCACUUACCCGCUCAUUGUAGAUUUCCAUGAAGGAGGCUUUUAGCACGUAAUUGACGUCCUUGCGAUUCUUAAUCAAUUGGAAGAGAUACAAAAACGAGCGGAAGAUGAGGCCAUGUCGCGGAUCCUUGGGAUUCGGUUUGCCAACGAACUUAAAGUGGGAAGAAAUAAGUUUAAAGUUAAACGUUUUACAAGUUAAUCAGAGCUUGACUGACCAAAUCCGGAGGUCCGGUAAGGGUGUGCGUUUUGCCGGAUCCUGUUUGGCCGUAACAAAAAGCCGUGCAACUGAAUCCCUCGAUGCCCAUUUCAAUGAUGCGCUUUAUGCCCGAGUAGUCCAGAAUGUCCUCCUGCGUGGCGCCUGGCUCAAAGACCACGUUGUAUGUAAAAACCCGCACACUAUCUCGAUUAUGUGACCUUUUCUGGCCCACAUCGUUGCCUUCCAGCUGGAGCGGAUUGGUUUUAACAUCAUGUUGAAAUGUUUGCAAGAAUAAUACGUACAAUAACCUGGCCGUUUCCGGGAAACUGAAGCGUGGACCCAUGUCGAUCUCUUUUCUCCUUGUCGUUCAAAGGACGCACUCGUACCACCACAUUGAUAUUGUCCUCCGGCGUUGAGCACUCCUCGCUACCCGUGGACUUGGAGGCCACGAUUUCCAGCGUGUCAGCGCUACCAAUCCUUAGAAUAUAAAUUUUAAUUGUAUUUUAAGUCAUUUAGUGGUGCCCCAAAUUAGCAAAUACAAAAUAGCCCAAACGCAAUUAGCCAAUAAAAGUACGAGGAACGUGUAUAUUUCAAGGCUUCAUGUAUAUGGCUGUUCAACUAUGAUGCCAAAUGUACAUAACCCGCAGUUACCAAAAUCGCAAUUAAUCAAUCAAAGUGAAAGAAGGCUUCCAUUGUUUUAUGAGCUCGAUUCGAUGUGGGCCCUGCGAAUUUCCAGAAUAGGUGGAUUUGCCUUGAACUUGAUGGAGCUCUGACUUCGACCGGCCUAUUAUUAGUCAAGGUUAAGGGUGGAUGGCAUGGCGCGUUAGUUUUGGGGUUUUUCUGAUUUAUUUGACCACCGCUUCAAACUAGCUCGCUACUGUGAACGUGAAGUAGGAGUCAGAGGUCACAUUUCAAUUGGAUUAACGAGCUCGCUUCUGGGGAAUUUUAUCGCAGCUGUUUGGAAAUAUGGAAAUAUGAAGCAGUAAAUUAUUGAAAGGGAUUCCAAAAACUUUUGGUUUCACUUGUUCGCUAACCCAACAAUUAUCCAGAAAAUAUUCCUCACAAACGAAGCAAAGUUUCCAAUACAAACAGUUUAUUGAACUGCAAAUAGACUGGACAGCACGGCGUAUGUGCGAUGAGCCGCCUUGGCGUGAUUGUAUGUGGCACAUAGCUGACAUUUAACAUUUUCACGUAAAUGACUUGUUAAACAUUCAUGCCCUAAUGGCCAUACUUCACUCUGCCUUUAUUAAUCAGACAUGAGUUGGGCCUACUGCGGUAAAUAUGUGCACUUGGUAAAUAUUUCAGAAGGCGGCAAUAGAACGGAAUUAACACGAAGCCCCAGACCGACGACUUGAGAAGCUAACGCCCAGAAAAGUUCAAUCAACUUUUGGUCUAGCCCUCAAUAUUUAAUAGGCCAAUACAACCACUACAAGGCUUAACUAUAAGCGAAAGUUUUGAUUUUGCUCACAAAUAUUCCUUGUAAUCAAUGCAUUUUACUAUUGUUAUUCGUAGUCAAUUACCGAUAUUUGUUUUAAGGCAGAGAUUUUAUAUAGUUUAUAGUUAGCUUUCUGAAAAGUACAAGCUCUUUGCUGUGACACAUUUGUAUACCUGAGCAAAUGAAAGCCUACUUGUAAGUAUUGUUGAUAUUUGCACAGGGUAAAUAUUUUCCCAGCACCGCUUAAAAAGUAACGAGAAAUUUCAGGCUAAAUCGUAUGAGCAAUAAAAAAAUAUGGGUUUUUUCUGGGCCACUUGUUUGCGAAUCAAAUAAACCAUAGCGAGUGGGAAAAAACGAAACUCUCACUUUUAUUUCCCGGGCAUGGAAUCCGAAUCCAACUCCGAAUCCGAAUCCGAGUGAACCAGACCCGCUAGUAGGAGAUAUUUAUUAGCCAAGCUUGUUUUAGGCAACGAAAUGUCAGGCUAGAUUAUCUGCGGGGCGUAAUUAUGACCUAACUCGUGUUGUGCAUGCCAAAAAAUCCAUAUGAAAUUGAGCAGUAUGAAAUGCACAUGGAUUGCCAAACUAAAACUUCCGGACUACCACGUAAAUUUAUUUGGGUGGAGUGUUGUAGGUUAUUUAGCCGCUAUCUUCUUGAUAUAUGGUUGUAAAUGUUUAUCACUGGAUAUGGCACUACAGUCUUCGAUGUGUGUCGUCAAUCAUAUGGCUAUCAACGCAUUAAUUCAUCAAAAGGCUGAAAUACAUGCGUGCUUCAAAAUAAUUAUAACGCCCACAAUGGCGUUAGCCUGGUGGGAUUAAUCAUGUCGUAUCUAUAAAAUAAAUUCUAGUUCCGUAUAUCCCAGCACUUCAUUAAGUUACUAAGUGACAUACGUAGGUGUCAAUUGUGACUCAAAUUAUUUACUCAAAUUAAUACUCAAUA